CCUACGGGAGGCAGCAGUAGGGAAUUUUCCACAAUGGGCGAAAGCCUGAUGGAGCAACGCCGCGUGGGUGAAGAAGGUCUUCGGAUCGUAAAACCCUGUUGUUAGAGAAGAAAGAGCGUGAGAGUAACCGUUCACGUUUCGACGGUAUCUAACCAGAAAGCCACGGCGAACUACGUGCCAGCAGCUGCGGUAAUACGGAGGUGGCAAGCGUGAUCCGGAUUUAUUGGGCGUAAAGGGAGCGCAGGCGGUCUUUUAAGUCUGAUGUGAAAGUCUUCGGCUUAACCGUAGUAGUGCAUUUGAGACUGGGAGACUUGAGUGCAGAAGAGGAGAGUGGAACUCCAGGUGUAGCGGUGAAAUGCGUAGAUAUAUGGAAGAACACCAGUGGCGAAGGCGGCUCUCUGGUCUGUAACUGACGCUGAGGUUCGAAAGCGUGGGUAGCAAACAGGAUUAGAUACCCUAGUAGUC
rnacentral:rRNA from 1 species